AAUGACAUUGAGGAAGCGAAUUAUCUGGGGAACCUUUAGGGAUGAAUACUUCCCACAUUUACUUGUCAAUCUGCAAAACUCCCAAGGAGAAAAUAUGUGGUUUAUUCUAACAAGCCACUACUGUUCUUGUCAGUGACUUCCCCUCUUAAUUGCCCCGCUUCGGGUUUACUUCAGUUCCUGGUAAGACCAAGACUUCCAUCUUUCACUGAAUUACCUUUCCUUGAAGUCAGAAUGUAGUGCAUCAGGCUCUCUCAACAGCUUCAAAUGGAAAACUUUGAAGUAAGUGAACUUAAAAGAAGAACUGAAAACUCAGCCUGAUGCCCCGAAGUCCCGUGGGCAGCCUAGCCACAGUCACCUGGUGGAACUCAUUAGCGCAGGCCGUUCUCAUCAGCGCCACGGAAGACGGAAACGCCGGGGUUCCUGGCUCUGAGCCUCUGGAGCGCCAGCACCUUCGCGGGGCUACGCGGGGCUCGGGGAGCGGCGGCCACGGCUUCUGCGCGCUCGCUCGCUCACUCAUUCACAGGGUCUGGGCAGCCCCGCGGGGACCCGGCUCUGCGCGCAGCGCAUUGUGCAGCUGGCGCGGCCGCGCAAAUGACAUCUGAGCCUCCUUUCAAGCCGCCGGCUGCUUUCAAAAGUGUGUUUUGAAAGGUUGGACUCCCCUGACUCCGCACUGGAGAACGGAACUCGGCUUUUUAUUAGAGGACGGCCUGGGACACGUGCCCGCCUCUGCGGCUCGCGCCUGCGUUGAUGGGAGAAUGAAAAGCAGACUUUGUCUGCUCAUUGACCAGAAUUAGUAACAUGGCCCUUCCUGACUAGAAGGGACCAGGAAGAAUAGUCUAUGUGUCCAGAAGGAGAGGAGCAGAUAUGUGUAAGCAUGUCUCUACUGUGGAAGAAAAGAGAAUUGGAAAGGAAAGAAGAUCCACAAAGGGUCUCAGGAGCUAAGACAAAAGAAAAGUACCAGGCUGGAGUGCGAUGGCACGAUCUCGGCUCACUGCAACCUCUGCCUCCAGUGUUCAAGCAAUUCUCCUGCCUCAGCCUCCAGAGUAACUGGGACUACAGUUUUGCAGCCACAUCAGUUUCUGAUUAGACUUACAAUUUAAGUGGGGAAGUGACUUUGGAAGAGACAUGUGUACUGUCAGCAGAUGGGAAGAGGAUGGAGAGAGAUGGAGGGAGGCCGCUGUAACACCUGUUCUGGUUGGGAUUCUGAAUGAAUAUGAAAGGCAUGGUACCUCUCUGUGGAAGGCUACACCAUGGCACUACGGAGUACAGACUGUGAGUUGUGUCACUGUGCACAAAUGAAGCCACUGUCCCAUCAAAUGAGAGGACACAAACUUUCAGCAAGAAAAAAUAAGAUAAUCUGAUACGUUUCAGUAUCAAAAAGAUUACCACCAGACACUCUACAAGGUGACGCAACAGUCAAACAGCACCGGAGGUCUGGACUGAUCACAUCUCAAGACAAUUAUAACCUACUCCCAAGCUCAGGCUGCAGUACAACUCAAAGGUGGACUAAGAACACACAAUAAUUCUCUGUCCCUGUGUUUGACAACACUGGAAACAGGCGUAUUUCCCUCUCUCUGAGCUAAACAAGUCUAGGAUGAUGGAUUCUACCUCUUUCUUUGCUAAGCAAUGCUGAGAAUAAACAGAAAUAAUUUAGCUCUUGCUCUAGGAAAUACCUGCUUCUGGAAGAUAAGUCUGGGAACAAACUAAACAGCUUACUUCUCAUGAAUAACACUUGACUCAUCCAGAAUUACUUCAAGACCCUCUGCACUGUGACCAUCAAUCCAAAGCUAUCAUGGCAUAAUCUCUGUUCAAUCCCAAAUAGUUUCUAUCUUGUAAGACUCUCCUUAAAUCCAGUCACCCAAGACCCCAAAACCAUAUCUAUUUCUAUUUUGAGACACUACUAAGACUGUCUCCAGUAAAUCUAAUAAGCUGAGCUUUUCUUGAUCAAUAGACUUUUCUGAUGAUCUUUGGGAAAUCAACAGUUGACUCAGUAAAGUACAAGACUACAAGACUGAUUGUAUUUAACUUUCUUAAAAACCUGUUUUUCUGUUUUUUAAUCUGUUUAUUUAUUCUCCCAAGAAAUAUUUAUUGAGUGUCAGGAACUACCUUGGACAUGGAGAACAAACUAUUUCUGACUUCAUGAAAUAUAUACUCUAGUAAGGAAAAAAUAUGUUUUUUAAAAUGACAGGCAUAAUUAUACCAUUACAGUUUUGAUAAGUGCGUUAAAACAGCAAUCCUAAAAUUCUAAGAAAAUGGGUCAAGGGAGAACCACAUUUGGCUUUGAGUGCAGGUGUGUGGAGAGCAAGGAUAGUAUCCCUGGACAGGCAGCAUUUAAAGUAAGACCAGAAAUCCCAGUGGAGAGGUGCCACUGGUAGAAGUGAUAGCAUGUGCAAUGCUCAGUGUCAGAAGGAGCUUGGCUUGCUCCCAGGACAGAGAGACAGCCAAUCCAGAAUAACCAGCCAUUGGGAGGGAGUUUGGCUGGAGGUAGGCAGGGCUGGGAUUAGUCAGAUUUUGUCAGACAUGAUAAGUAUUUAUACCUGGAGGUUAGUUGCAUUAGACUUUUUUUUUUUUUUUCUGAUACUAGCAUGUCUUAGACUCUAAUAUGUGUGUAUUAAUAGCCUCUCACAUUUGAUGUCAAAGACGAUGCCCAUAUUAGUGUGUGCUUUUGUCCCCUCUUCUGGAGCCAUAUGCUCCCUCUUUCUACUUUUAUCUUCUUUUAUUUUACAAAGUUUCUUCAGUUCCCUGUGUUUGUUCUGUUCCCCUUCCUAUGCUUUUUCUAGGACAGUGUUCUCACAGCCAAUAUUCUACCUUAUUUAGAGCCUCUCUGGGACUCAAGGAGUUUUUGCCUCCCUGGGUAAAGUCCCUUGACGAGAGCCUUUAAAAAAACAUAGUCGAUGAACUCUUUCUCCAGCUUAAGUAGUGUAAUGCAUUAUUGACUCCAGAUAUGAGGUCCCCACCGCUGCCAACAUUAAUGGAGAAACUUGUCCUAGUUCACAAGUGUUAACAGGGCUCCAGUCUUGUUCAACUUCUUCCUAGAGUGGCUUACUCCCUUGGGAAGUGUGAUUGUCUUAACCGCAUCUCAAGUUGGGAGGUAAUUUCUGUUCCAGGUACUCAAAGAGAUGCCAAGUUUAUUUGUAAAAUAAUUAUGGCAGUUUGAAAUUUGUUAAUUGCUCAUGUCAUUGUUCAAUGAGAUUUGUGUUUGUCACACCACAUCUUGAUGCAGAAUUUUAAAACUUUAUUUUGAAAGAGUAAACCAUUAUGUGUAACUAAUUGUCAUUCAAAAGUUCAGUAUAUAAAACACACAAAAGCAAAGAAGUGCCCCUGAGAGCAGGGGAAGGUCUGAGAGCUGGCAUAUUGGAUAUCUUUUUUAGUGCUGCUAAGUCCCCAGAAUUCACUGAAGGACUUUAGGUUGAAACAACACUACUUGACUCUGAGUUAAGGCAAUAAGGUUGACAACAAAAACUCAAGACCCUUUUGUCUUAGUAUAUUCAAGCUCCCUUAAUAAAAUACCCUAGAUUGGGUGGCUUAUAAACAAUAAAUAUUUAUUUCUGAUAGUUUUGGAGACUGGAAGUCCAAGAUCAAGGUGCCAACAUAUUUGGUGUCUGGUGAGCACCUGCUCUCUGGUUCAUGGAUGGUGCCUUCCUGCUGUGUCUUCACAUGGUAGAAGGAAUGAGGAAGCUCUCUCGAGUCUUUUUUAUAAGGGCACUAAUUUCAUUAAUGAGGGCUCCACCUUUAUAACCCAAUCCUCUCCCAAAGGCCCCUCCUCCAAAUAUCAUCACUUUGAGGAUUAGGAUUUUGUGAUGGUUAAUACUUAGUGUCAACUUGAUUUGAUUGAAAGAUACAAAGUAUUGAUAGUGGGUGUGUCCAUGAGAGUAUUGCCAAAGGAGAUUAACAUCUGAGUCAGUGGGCUGGGAAAGGCAGACUCACUCUUAAUCUAGGUGGGCACAAUCUAAUCAGCUGCCCACUCAGCUAGAAUAUAAGCAGGCAGAAAAUGUGAAAAAAGACACUGUCCUAGCCUCCCAGCCUACGUCUUUCUCCCAUGCUGGAUGCUUCCUGCCCUCAAACAUCAGGCUCCAAGUUCUUCAGUUUUGGAACUCAGGCUAGUUUUCCUUGCUCC